UACGUAGGGCGCAAGCGUUGUCCGGAAUCAUUGGGCGUAAAGCGCGUGUAGGCGGUUCGGUAAGUCUGCUGUGAAAGUCCAGGGCUCAACCCUGGGAUGCCGGUGGAUACUGUCGGACUAGAGUACGGAAGAGGCGAGUGGAAUUCCCGGUGUAGCGGUGAAAUGCGCAGAUAUCGGGAGGAACACCUAUUGCGAAGGCAGCUCGCUGGGACGUUACUGACGCUGAGACGCGAAAGCGUGGGGAGCAAACAGG
rnacentral:rRNA from 1 species